UUUUUUUUUUUUUUUUGGCUUUAUCUUUUCCCUAUCAAAAUCAAUACCAAGUGAUAUUCUGAGUUUUCGAUAUUCUUUACAACAACAUAUACAUUUCUGCUUGAAAAUUUUAAUGUGAGUUAAGAAAAUGGUACUCAAUCUCUCGUCAAUGAGACUUUGAAGGUAACAGGUUGAUGAUAUCAACGAAAUUUUAGAUAAUCAAAAUCUUGCCAUUUUGCAUUCAUAGUUAGGCAUGCCGACAUCCAAUUACCUUACAGAUGAAGUAAUAUACAUAUACAGUGAUAACACAUGAGGAGAACUCAGGGGUUUACACACGAAGCACGAGAACUUUCCUAACAAUUUCUAGCAACAAAUAAAGUGCAAUAAUGUAAAAUCUGAAUCUAACCUCACCUCCCUCUCUAUGCAGGGACAGCCUCAACAAGUCUUGCAAAGUAGAAUUGAGUGGUGAUUAAGCCUCUCUUUCUUAUUUUCCACCCAACCUUCUGUAGCGCCCUCUCCACAUCAGCUUCGGCGUGGAGAUAAGCCCUCGUUGCCUUUGAAGGCCCAGGAAACAACUCGCCCACCCUCUUUAACAAAUCAUAAUAAAAUGUCUUUGGCGCAAAGCUAAGAAUAAGUCGCUUUUCAGCCAAUGAAGCAAGGUGAGCAAUCAUCCCAUCUGCCUUACUUUGUGGGUAAUGUAUCAAAACAUCUAAGCAGACUACUGUGUCGUACUUCCCAUCUAAACUCUCUAGAUCCUUCACUUCAAAUUUCGGCAUCACUGGUGCUUCCCCUCCAUUGUCUGCUAACAGCUCCUCUUCUGCCUGCAUAAAUUUAACAAAUAAGGAUAAAAUAUCAAAUGUUUUUAAUUUUUAGAACAAUCACAUUUUCCAAGUUCCAAUAAUGCAACAUACGACGAGUCGUUUUACCUUCUUCCUAGCUUCAGCAACCAUUGCGGCCGAAAUAUCGCUGGCCGAGACAAUCGCCCCUUGUUUCGCCAACGGAAUCGCCAGACUGCCGGUCCCACACCCUGCGUCACAAACCGCAAUUCCUUUCAGCGAGCCUUCGUCAUUCAACAUCUGCAUCGUAUUCUCAACGGUCUUCGAGUGACCUAACCGAAUGUCAAGCUGAACUCUGUUAACGUCAUCGGUCUCGCCGUAAAUCUUCUUCCAACGCUGGAACCCCGAGUUGUUGAAGUACUCUCUCACGACCUCUUUGUCUCCGCCUCCGACUUCCUCGGCCUGGAGCUGGCGCCGGCGCUCGGGGUCGACGAGGGAGAGGACGGCGGCGAGUGCUGCGAUUGAGCCGCCGCUGAUGACGGCGGUAAUUUUAUUUUACAUUAAAACAAAAAAUUUGACUUUCUAAAAGUACCUGGAGGAUGAGAUGCUGAAGGAGAGUGGGGGAAUUGCAGCUACUGGUUUGCACAGAAGCGGCGUCGUUUUACUUGUUUUGCCGCGGUUCGGCGAGAGUGUAGAGGAGUUGUUGUAGAAUGGAAUGUGGGAAGACAGUGAAGCUGUGAAUGCCAUUUUAUUUUAUUUUUUUAAGUUUCAGUGAUAUUUUGUGUUUCCCGCCGGUGAGGGAGAGGGGAAGGGGAAAAGGGUAAGGUCGUUACGUGGUGACGUGGCGAGUGGGGAGUGGCUCAGUUGGUGAUGUUUUUGAUAAUUAUUGACGUUGGAGAUAAGAUAGAUUUUCAUGGGCGCUUUAUUUCUGUGGGGCCUGCUUUCUUGGGCUGGACCAAUAGAAGGUGAAAUGCUUUCAUGGGCCCUUGAUUUUGUUGUUUCUGAAAUGGUUUAUAACUAAUAUUUAAUUUGAAAAUGUGUUGGAUAGUGGAUACUGUGUUUUCAGACUUCUAUUGUAAAAUGAAAACUGAAAAAAAAAAAAGUAAAAAUCAUGUUUGAUUCGAUUGCUUGAACGGUGAAUUACAACCGAACAAACCCAUUUAGUGUAACCCAGUUUUACGGAUGCUGAGUCCGUACUCAUUUAUUUCACCCGAUUCGAUUUGUAGUAAAUGGGUUUAUAUUUAGAAAAUUAAUUCAAUUAAUAAAUAGGUAACUUAUUAAUAAAAUGAAUUACUUAUUUACUUUUAUAUUUUAAACAAUUUAGGUUAAUAAACACGGUUAACUUCUAGCGCAAUAUUGUAAUCGAAUUAGAAAAAGACAAAAUGAAACAUAAAUAUUAUAUGGUACAUAACAUUUAUCUAAUAUUAUAUAUUAUUUUAAGGUUAAAUCAAACUAAAAUUUUAGUUAAGCAAAUUGAUUCGUUUAUAAAAUAGAUUAAUUCUGAGUUAGCCAAAUUUUGAAGAAACUCGUUUAAAAUUCGACAGGAAUUCAGCUCAUCAACUCAAUUGCUACCCUCAGUUUUCAUCAUUUAUAAUUAAUUUAUUGGAUAAUUUUAAAUAUCCACAAAAAUCUAUCUAGAAACAAUAUCCUAAUAAGUUAGCUUGCUCAUUAAGCUGUAGAUAAUUUUAAUUUUUUUUUAAAUAAUUUAUUGCAUUAUUUUUCUAUUGCACGAUGGUGCCAACUCAUUGAGAUUUAUGUUGCAUUGCUCUUUAUUUUAAUUAGUUUUAGAUUAUGUUUGGUAUAACUUUUCAAAUAGAGCGAACCAAACAAGCACUUUUUAGACGUAUUGUUUUGUUUGUGUUGAGUCAAAUCUACUCCGUUUUUUUUUGCUGUAGAAAAGAAAUCCCUUCCCCCGCUUUCAAAAAUGAUGAAAAUUAAGUUCGUGGGGCUGCAGCUGUAGGUAUUAUGGAUUCUCUAACUCCCAAUCGGGCUUUACAAAAAAAAAUAUAUAGUUGAUUGGUUGUAAAUGUAAGUUUUUAUUAAAAUUUAUAAAAUCAUCUUAAUAACUAAGUUUUUUAAAAUUAUAUUAUAAAAUGAAUCAAGUAAGAUUAUUAAAUGGGUAAACUAUAUUUUAAAUAUUUAAAAAAUCAACCUCUACUUCUAAAAUCUCAAAAUUUAAAAUUUUACUAAUAGAAGCAAAAUAACUUAUUUAAUUUUCAAAAAUUAUAUUAAAUAAAUUUAAACAACAACAAAAAUUUAAAAUGAACUUAUGAAAUAAAUAAAAACUUAUACUAAUCAAAUAAAAUAUACUAAACACACUUAAAAUACUUCCUCAUAGCAUCAUUAAAUCGCAAUAUGAAUGAACGAGGGAAAACUUCAAAAAGCAGAUUCUAAACGAUACAAAAGAUUUGUUAAAGAUUACAAAUCUUAUUGUUUUUUUUUUUUUUUUGAUGAGAGCAGAAUAUUAUUGUUAAGAGCAGAAUAUUAUCAAAUAUUAUUGUUUAAUUAUCUUAUAGUCUGUCCAAGACCAUAACACGUCACAGUCAACCAACAAAGCCAAAAGGUGGGGUAUGAGCUUUGACCAUUAUUAAUUGCAUAACUAGGGAAUAAUUGGUGCAAACCCAACUUAGAAGAUAAGAUAACAAAAACCUGAAUGUUCAUAUAAAUUCUGAAUAAAUUAAUUUAUCGAAAUACGAAAUUGUUUAUUUAUUAGAUUGUUCACGAUUUUCCAAAAAUAGUAGCACACAUAUGUGUAAUAAAUUCUUUAAAUAAAAAAUCCAAGAUGGCGAAUCUUUAAUAAAAAUGGAAGAAAAUCAAAUUUAGAUACAACAGUAAAAGCGUGGGGUGCCACGCUAUUGGCUGGCCAAGACCAAAUGAUAAACGAUUGGUCACAGUAGAAGCGGGCAAAUACUUUUUCAAACAUACACGCCCUUCAUUGUCUCUCCGUUUAAUCUUAAAGUUGCAAGUUAAUUAUAUUUCCUUGGAUUAAAUGCUAAUCCUUUCAUAAGAUUGUAAUAUACCUGUAAUUUAAAUCUUAACUGCAUGCACGUGGCUCUGUAAGACUGUAAGUCUUGAUAAAGCUCACAGACACAUAGUGACUCGAUAACGACUCUGAAUACUAAAACAACUGGGCUCACAAUAUUCCAUUUCCAUCACUCACAAAGACAAACAAGAAUUAUCAAGAGCUUGGCUUUCAUUUUCACAGGCCAGCCAUUAGAAAACAAGAAAAUAAGUGAUAAUACUACUGACUUUGGUUCUCUCGGCUGAGUUUUUUUUUUUUUUUUUGGUUUACUUUAUCUGCUCAAAUUUAAGCGUUUGUGCUAACUGGGCAUCAACAGUCAUCAAUGGUGAAUCAAGUUUGCUUAGUAGUGGUUUUUUUUUUGUCUUUAUUAUGCGUGGAGUCGAAGUACAUGAUGUAUAAUACCUCGGCCGGGAUUGUGCCGGGGAAGAUCAAUGUUCAUUUGGUGCCCCAUUCGCAUGAUGAUGUUGGUUGGUUGAAAACCGUGGAUCAAUAUUAUGUUGGCUCCAAUAACAGCAUUCAGGUUCUUCUUCUUUAUAUGUGCACUCACUUUUAUUGAAAUGAAUGGUUUCUUUUUUGAUGAUUAAUGGGAUGCCUAUAUGCAGGUGGCUUGUGUGCAAAAUGUGCUUGAUUCUCUAAUUCCGGCACUGGUGGCUGAUAAGAACAGGAAGUUCAUAUAUGUUGAACAGGCAAUCACUCAUGGCUUUUUUUUUUUGGUUUUUUAAGUUUUGAUUUCCUAUUGGAAAUUUAUGCCCACGGACUUGUUGUUUUCUCGAUAAGUAUAGGCAUUCUUCCAGAGGUGGUGGAGAGACCAGAGUGAGGAAGUUCAGAAUGUAGUGAAGCAGCUGGUCAACUCCGGUCAACUUGAGCUAAUGUAACAUUCUCCUAUCUUUGAAGUGUUAAAAUCUAUAUAUCAUAAAGAAGCUUUUCUUCUUAAAACUAUGUUGCGGUAGCAUCUAGCCACUGACAAUGGAUUACUGAAGAAUGAAGAUUAGUGCUUUAAAGGGAAUUUUGUUUUCUGGGUUGUGAUUUUCUCAUUAUUGGUGUGCAGAAAUGGGGGUAUGUGCAUGCACGACGAGGCAGCCCCACAUUACAUUGACAUGAUCGAUCAGACAACUCUUGGGCAUCGAUACAUCAAAGAACAAUUCAAUGUGACUCCAAGAAUUGGUUGGCAAAUUGAUCCAUUUGGGCAUUCUGCAGUGCAGGCUUACCUGUUGAGCGCUGAGGUAUUAUAUGCGAUCUCUUUAACUCCCUCACUAGUCCACAUGCUUUAUGCAACAAAUUGGUGAACACAAAAGCUUCCUUAUUGGCCUAGGUUGGAAGCGUUUGUGCUAACUGGGCAUCAACAGUCAUCAAUGGUGAAUCAAGUUUGCUUAGUAGUGGUUUUUUUUUUGUCUUUAUUAUGCGUGGAGUCGAAGUACAUGAUGUAUAAUACCUCGGCCGGGAUUGUGCCGGGGAAGAUCAAUGUUCAUUUGGUGCCCCAUUCGCAUGAUGAUGUUGGUUGGUUGAAAACCGUGGAUCAAUAUUAUGUUGGCUCCAAUAACAGCAUUCAGGUU
rnacentral:lncRNA from 1 species